rnacentral:rRNA from 1 species
GAUGAACGCUGGCGGCGUGCCCAAUACAUGCAAGUCGAGCGAACAGACGAGGAGCUUGCUCCUCUGACGUUAGCGGCGGACGGGUGAGUAACACGUGGAUAACCUACCUAUAAGACUGGGAUAACUUCGGGAAACCGGAGCUAAUACCGGAUAAUAUAUUGAACCGCAUGGUUCAAUAGUGAAAGUCGGUUUUGCUGUCACUUAUAGAUGGAUCCGCGCCGCAUUAGCUAGUUGGUAAGGUAACGGCUUACCAAGGCAACGAUGCGUAGCCGACCUGAGAGGGUGAUCGGCCACACUGGAACUGAGACACGGUCCAGACUCCUACGGGAGGCAGCAGUAGGGAAUCUUCCGCAAUGGGCGAAAGCCUGACGGAGCAACGCCGCGUGAGUGAUGAAGGUCUUCGGAUCGUAAAACUCUGUUAUUAGGGAAGAACAAAUGUGUAAGUAACUAUGCACGUCUUGACGGUACCUAAUCAGAAAGCCACGGCUAACUACGUG